GGAUGGGUGGCCGAGCGGUUGAUGGCACCGGUCUUGAAAACCGGCGUUGGUGAAAGCCAACCGUGGGUUCGAAUCCCACCCCAUCCG
rnacentral:tRNA from 1 species